rnacentral:rRNA from 1 species
UACGAGGGGGGCAAGCGUUGUUCGGAAUUAUUGGGCGUAAAGGGCGCGUAGGCGGUGCGGUAAGUCUGAUGUGAAAUCUCCGGGCUCAACUCGGAGUCUGCAUCAGAAACUGCCGUGCUCGAGUGUGGGAGAGGUGAGUGGAAUUCCCGGUGUAGCGGUGAAAUGCGUAGAUAUCGGAAGGAACACCGAUGGCGAAAGCAGCGUGCUGGACCUUUUCUGACGCUGAGGCGCGAAAGCCAGGGGAGCAAACGGG